GGAAUUUUCCGCAAUGGGCGAAAGCCUGACGGAGCAAUGCCGCGUGAAGGAUGACGGCCUAUGGGUUGUAAACUUCUUUUCUCAGAGAAGAAUUUUGACGGUAUCUGAGGAAUAAGCAUCGGCUAACUCCGUGCCAGCAGCCGCGGUAAGACAGAGGAUGCAAGCGUUAUCCGGAAUGAUUGGGCGUAAAGCGUCUGUAGGUUGUGUGACAAGUUUUCUGUCAAAGAUCAGGGCUUAACCCUGGGCCGGCAGGAAAAACUAUCAUGCUAGAGUUCGGUAGAGGCAGAGGGAAUUCCCAGUGGAGCGGUGAAAUGCGUAGAUAUUGGGAGGAACACCAAAGGCGAAAGCACUCUGCUGGGCCGAGACUGACACUGAGAGACGAAAGCGAGGGGAGCAAA
rnacentral:rRNA from 1 species